rnacentral:rRNA from 1 species
UAAGAGGAUAUCAAAAAAAUGAGAACUUUAGACGUACAUGCUAACUAAAUAGUAAACAAGCGAAAAAACAUUUUAAAUAUAAAUAAAAAAUCAAAUAAACACACACAAGACAUUCGAAUGAAAAUAAUCUAAAGAUCACAUUUAAAAAAGCAACACCUCAUAUUGUGCAAUGUAGAAAAACACAACACAGCAACAAUAAACAAAUAAGAACAAGCAAAGAAUGUGCCAGCAGCCGCGGUCACACAUUUCUGUACUAAUUUUCAGAAAAAAAUUAGUAACAUAGAACAUCACAAAAAACCAGAAAUUUGAACAACUAUCACAAUAGUAAAAUAUUUUAAUAAUAACUCAACACACACUUUCUGAAAGAAAAUUCUUUACACUAAAGCAUAGAAAAUAAAAAGGAUUAGAUACCCUUGUAGCCUAUGCCAUAAAAAAAUAACAAUGAAAAAGUAUGCUCGCAAGACAGAAACUUAAUAAAUUUGAGAGAGUAAGAAAACUCAGGAUGGCGUAUACCUUAAUUCGAAAUUACACGAAAACCUUACCUAAACAAAACAAGUAGAAUAUCUCCACACACUGCUUUUAUAAAAAAAACAUAAAUACUAAUUAUGACAUGUGUCGGUCACCACCCUCUUCAUAUUUAGGGCAAAUAAGCGCCACAAACUAUUAAAACUAAACUUAAUAGUACCUAGCUAAUGAAAAUAAAUAGGGAGAACUUGAAAGUAAUUAUUUUUAAUCAAAAAAUAAUGAAAAAAAUAAUUAAACUGCUACAUACCGCCCGUCAAUUCUCGAAAGAAUAAUAAAUAAUACGAAAAAAAAAUACAUAAUAUAACACUAAAAAUAUUAAAAAAAAUUGAGAAUAAGUCGUAACAAGGUAGCUAUAUCUGAAGAUGUGGCUAAAUAUUA